CCUGUGGGUCCAAACCUGCACACUGCCGAGUACCUCCUGAAAAGUGAAAAAACAACAACAACAACAACAAAAAACAAGUUACAUAGAUCAAACCUUGUUAAAGAGUUGUGGUGGUUAAGUCUGUAAAGGAUCAUAUUCAGUGUUUGGAAAUUUUUAAGAACAGCAGUUGUGGUCACCACAGUAAUAUCUCGCCUGUGAAGACAAGAGCCUGGGUCUUGUAGAAAAAAGAAAACCUUCUGAGUGCCUGCUGGGGGAUGGCACCCCUGAAGGAAAGCAUCACCCUGCCUGCUCUCCUCUUCACUGUCUUGACCAGUAAUUAAGUCCUGCUUUUUCUGCAGAUAAUGCGUGUGAUACAAGCCAAAUUGUAUCAAUAGCGUGAUAAUGCAGAUAUCCCAUGGGAGAUUUCUACUUCACAAAGCCCCCUACUGAAGUUUUAACAGUGUCAAGAAAAUGACUUUUAAUUGAAACAACCCAGAGGCUGUGCACUGUCUACCUUCCAGAGUGUGCGCUAGUGUCGUGCCUGGUGACAUGAAUGGGAUUUACAGGUUUGCAAAUGACUGGUGUGUGUAUAUAUCUAUCUCUCUGUUAGACAUAUAAUGUAUGUGAAAUAUGGUACCGAGGUUCAAUUAGCAAUGUAGAAGGUCACUUAAAAAGAGCUUGACUUUUGAAGUAGUUCAUAAAAGCAGACAACUGGUGUUCCUUUUUUGGUUUCAAGACUUUACAUAAAAUUAAAUAUUUCUUUAAUAAGAGAAAAGCUAGUAGAAUAAGAAAUAGCUUCUAAAACAUAGCUUUUACUGUAAUAAAUUUUUUUGGUCAUAGCUUUUACUGCCAUACUAUCAGUGAGAGAACAUGUAUGGUUCUGUUUGGUACUUCUAAGACAAAGACCAUAAACAUUUAGAAGUGUCCUUGCCCCAGCCUGUUACACUGAUUAUCACCCCAAACCAUGUUUGUAUAUUGGUUGAAAUGAAAGCCUCUCUGUCCAGUCUCAGAGUACUGGACUGGCAAACCAAGAGUGCGUUAUUUCCUCCCUGCAAUGCUCCUGGGACUGUUCUCACCCCUGGAGCUUGCUCUUUGAGAUCCUCUGGCCUCAUCGCAUCUGUCAAGGUCAGAUGAAUGUGGAAUCUGAAUCCUCAUGAAUAUCAUUAUGCCCCAGAAUUUUCCCAAAUUCUGAAUGUUGGGACCUUUUCCAAUCCUUUGCAAGGCUACUCAUCUUGAAAAAUAAAAUAAAUUGGUAAAUCUCCAUUCCAAUUGCGGAAGAUAGAAUCUAGGCAGCUCACAAAAAUGUGAAAAUAUGCAAAGUAAACAGAUUGUUUCUGACAGUAACAACCUUGCGAUUGUAUAAAGCAUCAUCAAAUUGCAACAUGCACGUAUUAAGUUUUGAGAACAACUGAAUUCACAGUGACACAUUCUCAGCUCUUGAAUUCAUUAUCACACCUGCUCAGCUUGGAGAUUUGCAGUAUUGUACCUUGUUCUCAAAGGUGGCCUCCAAAGGAGCACCGUAUUAUCAAGGUAAUCUCAUUUAGGUUCAAUUUUCUGAAGUUCUUUGUGAGCUAUAUGGAGAAUUGUAGCAAGGGCAGGGCAAAAAGGUGCCAAGUAGAGAGAAGUAUACUCAAGCUCUUCUUUUGGUACUGCCAUCUGGAAAGAUGCCUGAAGCAAGUCCUUAAGGGCUGCUGAAAGGAGACUGUGGAAGGUUGAAAGGAUGUGUACUGCAGUGCCCUCACACCUUGCCAUGAUCAGCUGGGCUGAUCCACAUGCACAUUUCCCUUUGUGACUUAUAACAGCUUUAUUAAGAAGAAAUUCUUAGGGAAAACAAAAGAAAAACAACUUUAAAUACCUAAUUCAUUGUUAGGCAAAUGGUAGUAAUGACUCACCAGAAAACAAACUUUUUAAAACAAGAAAAAUGAAUACUUCUAGACAUUAAAGCUGGGCUCUCAGCCCCCUAAUAAACACCUAGAUAAACUUUCAUUCAAUUAUACAGAAAUACAUACUUCAUGACAAUGCUACAGUCUCGAUGCUGGUCAGUCUGCUGGGGAUUCUUUAAAUCAACAAGUUAACGGAUAUGGUUACGGACAUUUUUAAUAGUUUAAUAUAUGAACCAGAUGUAGAAUUUUUAAGCAUUUCAAAGUGCUGUGGCUUCUGUUAAUUCUACUGGGUAGUUUAUUAAAGUAUUUUUCCACUUAUUCUAAGGAAAUAUAUAUGUGCAGACUUGCAUUUGGGCUGGUCAGUAGAUAUCACUAAUGCUUGUAUAAAUAAUUUUUCAUGGUUGUCUUUUCCAGAAGUAGUUGUUAUUGUUAUGUUUGGAAUCUGAGAGUUCUCUUGUAAUAAUAUUUAUUUAAGGUCAGAAUUAAGGUUAUACUGUGAUAUAAUGCAUUCUCUAUAAAACACGUGCUGAAGCAGCGCACAAUUUAUUAUGUAUUUACAUUCAUUUCCUUGACUUUAUAUAAUUGAUACAUGAAGAU